UAAAGAGACGACCUUCAAGUAUACAGGCAGAGAAACAGAACUCCUUCCAAACAGGGCCCACUACACAGCUGAGGAAUAUAACCCAAACAACCAUUUAGAAGCUGCCAAAAGAUACCCUAACCAUCACGUGUAUAACAAGAGAAAAUCUCCAAAAUCAUGUAAUGCACAAUGAUGAAAACAAUCGAAUUCACACUCCCUAUUUGAACAACACAGAGCAUAAUUGAUGAUGCCAGUUACCUCUUAGAGCAAACAGAACUGAAGAGGUUGGGAUGAAGGGGAAUCCCUGGAACAAGACCAAUAAUCAGUACAACUUUAAACAAAGUAUUGUUAGCCAAAAACAAGAAAUGCAUGAGCAAAAAAGUUACUUAAAAAAAAAAGAAGAAGAAAAGCCUUUGGAUGCAUUAGAAGAUACAGGUCUCAAUUCCAAGAUGCUAACAUAAAGGACCCCGCGCCGGGGGGGGGGGUGGGGGGGCAUUAGAUAUUUACAGGUGUCAAAACCACUAAGUUGGCUCAAGCAAAAAGGAAGAAAUAGUGCGUACUCCCUUCGUUAACAAUGCAAAAAGCCUUUGAUCUUGGACAAGAGACGUAAGUUGUCAUCAAACCUCUGAGUCAUCUGGACCCAGAUUCCAGCAACCAAAGUCAUGUUAAGGAAGUUAAAUAGUUCCUUUGA
rnacentral:lncRNA from 1 species